rnacentral:rRNA from 1 species
CUGCUGCCUCCCGUAGGAGUCUGGGCCGUGUCUCAGUCCCAAUGUGGCCGUUCAACCUCUCAGUCCGGCUACUGAUCGUCGCUUUGGUGGGCCAUUACCCCGCCAACUGGCUAAUCAGACGCGAGCUCAUCUUUGGACGAUAAAUCUUUGGCAGCAAAAUCAUGCGGUCUCGCUGCAUCAUGCGGUAUUAGCAGUCGUUUCCGGCUGUUAUCCCCCAUCCAAAGGCAGAUUG